GAUGAACGCUGGCGGCGUGCUUAACACAUGCAAGUCGAACGAUUAACCCAUCUUCGGAUGGUUAUAGAGUGGCGAACGGGUGAGUAACACGUGACCAACCUGCCUUUUACUUUGGGAUAACUCAGAGAAAUCUGUGCUAAUACCGAAUACUCCGAUACCUUCGCAUGUUGGUUUCGGGAAAGUUCCGGCGGUAAAAGAUGGGGUCGCGGCCUAUUAGAUAGUUGGUGGGGUAAUGGCCUACCCAGUCAGCAAGAGGUAGCCGGGUUGAGAGACUGAGCUGCCACAUUGGGACUGGGAUACGGCCCAGACACCUACGGGAGGAAGCAGUGGGGAAUUUUGCGCAAUGGGCGAAAGCUUGACGCCGCAACGCCGCGUGCGGGAUGCCGGCCUUCGGGUUGUAAUCCGCUUUCAGCAGGGAAGAAAUUGACGGUACCAACAGAAGAAGCUCCGGCUAACUACGUGCCAGCCGCCGCCGUAA
rnacentral:rRNA from 1 species